GUAGGGGAAGUCUCCAGCCUGAAGAGAUGCUCUACACUGAGGUUCUGUGGUUGUUGAUUAAAGGGAACCAAAGCUUGACCUGCAAAUGGAAUCAAGCAGUUUUUGGAGAAAUUCAGCUCCUUCUGGUGUGUGCUGUGAACCCACGCCUGUACAUCGUGUCCAAAAGUGACACUCGCCUCUCCCGGGUGACGGGAAACAGGACAGCAGGAAAUGGCUCAGGUUGUGCCAGGAAAGGCUGAAAUUGAGUGUUUGGACAAAUUUCCCCACUGAAAAAGUGCUCAGGUUUGGAGUGGGCUGCCCUGGGAGGCGGUGGAGUCGCUGUCCCUCGAGGGAUUUGUAUCACACCUAGGUGUGGCCCUUGGGGACGUGGUUUAGUGGGAUUUGGCAGUGCUGGGGUAAUGAUUUUCUCUGAGCCUGAGGGAAUUGCAGGUUGCAAAUCUGAUUGCACUCAAUGAAUUUUCCAGCCUUCGUUUUCACAUUUGAAUUUUCCAUUUUCCUCAUCUCUCAGACAAUUCUGGUGAUUAAAUUGCACACUACAAUGAGUCCAAGUCUGCAGUGAACAUCCAAAGAGGAGCAUCCUAAGAAUCCUUGAGUGCCUGAGGAAGAUGGAGGUGUGCUGUUCUGAGGUGCUAAAUAAAUGUUGGA